GAGGGCACAGCUCAGUGGUAGAGCGUGUGCUUAGCAUGCACGAGUCUUGGGUUCAAUCCCCAGUGCCUCCA
rnacentral:tRNA from 1 species